UACAUGGGGUGCAAACGUUGCUCGGAAUCAUUGGGCGUAAAGCGCGCGUAGGCGGUUACUUAAGUCGAAUGUGAAAGCCCUCGGCUUAACUGAGGAAGUGCAUCCGAAACUGAGUAGCUAGAGUACGAAAGAGGGUCGCGGAAUUCCCGGUGUAGAGGUGAAAUUCGUAGAUAUCGGGAGGAACACCGAUGGCGAAGGCAGGUCUCUGGGCAUUAACUGACGCUGAGGAGCGAAAGCAUGGGGAGCGAACAGG
rnacentral:rRNA from 1 species